AGCGAACGCUGGCGGCAGGCUUAACACAUGCAAGUCGAGCGGGCAUAGCAAUAUGUCAGCGGCAGACGGGUGAGUAACGCGUGGGAACGUACCUUUUGGUUCGGAACAACUGAGGGAAACUUCAGCUAAUACCGGAUAAGCCCUUACGGGGAAAGAUUUAUCGCCGAAAGAUCGGCCCGCGUCUGAUUACCUAGUUGGUGAGGUAAUGGCUCACGAAGGCGACGAUCAGUAGCUGGUCUGAGAGGAUGAUCAGCCACAUUGGGACUGAGACACGGCCCAAACUCCUACGGGAGGCAGCAGUGGGGAAUAUUGGACAAUGGGCGCAAGCCUGAUCCAGCCAUGCCGCGUGAGUGAUGAAGGCCCUAGGGUUGUAAAGCUCUUUUGUGCGGGAAGAUAAUGACGGUACCGCAAGAAUAAGCCCCGGCUAACUUCGUGCCAGCCGCCGCCGUAA
rnacentral:rRNA from 1 species